CUGAUUCUAACACCUCUUUCAUAUCUGGAGAGACUGAGGCCCAGAGAGGUGACAGGAGCUAUUCAACGAGUUAGCUUCUGAGCCUGGAUAAGAGGCCAGGGGUUCCAUUCCCUCCUUGGUGGUCUUUUUAUUUCAUCUUCUCCAGGCUAGAUGUUAACCCUCAGCACACACGAGUUCUAUGAACGUUCAGGCAAAUAAAGACAGAAAUAAAGGAAGAUAGACCGAACAAGGCAGAAAGAAUGACUCGGUUUGCUUACGCCUGAGCCUACAGCAAUACACCAAAGUAAAAGGCCUGCUUCCUCACUCUUGGACCAGCCAUCACACAUGUGCACUGCCCCGGAUGCUCCUCUCCCAGGUGACAUUAUCAGUUUCAGGUGUUCCAUAAAGCAAUUCGGUGAGUCCAUAUAUUACUCAGUGCUCAUCAAGUGCCUGGCAUAGAGCAGCUAUUUAAGAAAUAUUUACUGAACUGACAGAGGGCUGAAGGAGUGCCCCUUUACCUUCGUCGGUCCUGAGGAGGGCUUUUUCAGAAGACUUGCCUUGUCCAGGCACUUCAUUCUCACUAAGUUCUUCCAGUGCACUGUCAAAUAGGAGUGAUGAGAGAAGACAUCUUUGACUUGUUCUUGAUCUUUGGAGGAAGGCAUUCAGUCUCUUACCAUUAAUGACUGCAUUUCUUGGAGAAAACUUGGUGAGCAAGCAUCUGCCCCACUGCACAUCAAGAACGUUCCAGACUUUGAGCCAG